UGAGGAAUAUUGGUCAAUGGGCGAGAGCCUGAACCAGCCAAGUCGCGUGAGGGAAGACGGUCCUAAGGAUUGUAAACCUCUUUUGUCGGGGAACAACGAGUUGCACGUGUGCGACAGUGAGGGUACCCGAAGAAAAAGCAUCGGCUAACUCCGUGCCAGCAGCCGCGGUAAUACGGAGGAUGCGAGCGUUAUCCGGAUUUAUUGGGUUUAAAGGGUGCGUAGGCGGCAAGUAAGGUCGGCGGUUAAACUGCGGGGCUCAACCCCGUAUCGCCGUCGAAACCGGCAGGCUAGAGUGGAGAAGGCGGCUUACUGGACGACAACUGACGCUGAGACACGAAAGCGUGGGGAGCAAACAGGAUUAGAUACCCUGGUAGU
rnacentral:rRNA from 1 species